UUAAACCCAGGAGGAAGAGGUUGCAGUGAGCUGAGAUCGCACCACUGCACUCCAGCCUGGGCAACAGAACAAGACUCCAUCAAAAAAAAAAAAAAAAAAAGGGAUGAGUGUAGUGGCUCAUGCCUGUCAUCCCAACACUUUCGCAGGCUGAGGUGGAGGAUCACUUGAGCCUGGGAGGUUGAGGCUACACUGAGCCAUGAUUGUUCCACUGUGCUCUAGCCUGGGCAACAGAGUGAGACACUGUCUCCAAAAAAGGGAGAAAGACUCCUCAAGGGCUGACGCGUGUCCUCUCAAUUGCAGACCAUCCAUAAUGUACGUGAACACAGGCCAGGGGCUUUCUCACCACAAACAAUUCCUCUUCCAUGUAAGUACUUAUUAUUGUAAAGCUGUAGAUGGCAAAGCAAUACCAGCUUUGAUUUCCUACUCUGAUUUUAAUUUGCAGGUACAUGGGGAGAACCUCUUUGGAGCAGAAUACCAGUUGCAAAUUUGCAUCCCAACCAAAUUACGAGGUCUCCAGGUUGUAGCAGUGAAGAAGCUGACGAGGACUCAGGCCUCCACGGUGUGCACCUGGAGUCAGGAGCGCGCUUGUGCGUACAGUUCGGUUCAGCAUGUGGAAGAAUGGCAUUCAGUGAGCUGUGUCAUCGCUUCAGAUAAAGAAAAUGUCACCGUGGCUGCAGAGAUCUCCUUGGAUCACUCUGAGGAGUUACUAAAAGAUGUAACCGAACUGCAGAUCCUUGGUGAAAUAUCUUUCAACAAAUCUCUAUAUGAGGGACUGAAUGCAGAGAACCACAGAACUAAGAUCACUGUCGUCUUCCUGAAAGAUGAGAAGUACCAUUCUUUGCCUAUCAUCAUUAAAGGCAGCGUUGGUGGACUUCUGGUGUUGAUCGUGAUUCUGGUCAUCCUGUUCAAGUGUGGCUUUUUUAAAAGAAAAUAUCAACAACUGAACUUGGAGAGCAUCAGGAAGGCCCAGCAGAAAUCAGAGAAUCUGCUCGAAGAAGAGAAUUAGGACCUGCUAUCCACUGGGAGAGGCUAUCAGCCAGUCCUGGGACUUGGAGACCCAGCAUACUUUGCAUUACUUUUUCCUUCAGGAUGAUCUAGAGCAGCAUGGAGCUGUUGGUAGAAUAUUAGUUUUUAACCAUACAUUGUCCCAAAAGUGUCUGUGCAUUGUGCAAAAAGUAAACUUAGGA
rnacentral:sRNA from 1 species